rnacentral:lncRNA from 1 species
AUAGUCGCUUGUUCUCCGCCCGCGGUGGACCAGCUGCGUAACGGUUCACACACUGAUGGCGCCUGGAGGUUUGGCGAAAUACUGACAGGAUGCGACGUCAACGGGAGCGCAGGGCCAAGAUACCCUUUAUAUCAAACCGUCUAUCCUGGAGCAGAAAAAUCCUGUCUUCAUUGCUAUAGCUACAGAUUCAGAAAUGAGCAUGUAACAAAUUCAGGCCAAAGAGAGGCAAUGGAAAUCAGAGAAACACUGUUCCUGAAAGCUUCUGUCACUCAAGAAUCCAUGAAACAUUCAUGAACUUCACAUCAGCCAAGCCCAGAAAAUAUGGGUUUAAGGUUUGCCUAUAUGUCCAAUACAAGAGAAAAAAGAACAUUCCACUUCUUUAGAAGGUUCUACUUUGAUCUCCUGGAAGAUUUCUGUAUUUGUCUUCUUAACUCUUGAGUUUUGUUGUUGCUAAUAUUGGAUGAAGAGGAGACAAAAUGAUUGGAUCUAGAGGAGCACCGACAAGCAAAUGGCAGAGUCCUCAGAAGGGAAGAUAGUGUUAAUGUAGAAUUGAUAACACAGAAUGCACCACUGCUGUGAUCCUUAUAUCUUGGCUGGCCAUUACCCCUCCACUUGGAAAUGAAAAAGAUAAACUAAUUGAAGCAGUGAGAAGAGAAAAAGGGAGAGGAAGGUGCUAUUGUGGAGGUGCAUACCCAACAGUUUGAUAAUGUAGAGGAAGUGAUAGCUUUGUCUCGUGGAAUCUGGGUCGACCUCACAGAGGAGCUGUUAUUUGUUCUGGAUAUUGAACAGUGACAAGGAUUCAGUGGGAGAGAAAGAGGCGAGGCAACAACAAACAUGUGCUGUGGAGA